UUAACAGUUUUGAACAAAAUAAUUUCUUCAAAAAAGGAUUAGCAAGAGUCAUUUAUUUUUCACUUUCAUUAACUUAGCUAGCACAUGCAGCUAGCUAGCUAGCUUAGCCUACUCAGAGGGAUGUUAGCUAGCUAGCUAUGACUAUCCAACACAACACUGGAACCCUUCCAAGUCAAGGUAAGCUUUUGGUUUUAUUAAUUUAUUGCCAACAGGGUUUACUAACGCUUUAGUUCUAUUAGCUAUUUUGACUAUGACGUUACUUUAGCUAAUAUGGGGACAACGAUGCAGGCUGUGUGUAGUGGUUAUGAUAUGGUUUGGCUUGGAAACGUUUUUUACUCCUGGUCACAUAUAGCUGAUGUGUUGUGCAUUGAAGUCCACAAGGGGAAAAAGGUGAGAGGAGACGGUAUAGACGCGAGAAGGAAUACAACGUGGCUGCUAUGAAAGUGAACUGUGUUUACGCGUAAUCAGGGGUGUAUUCGUUUCGACGAUUCUGUUAAGUUUCUUAAACGGAAGCAAACGGAACAAAACGGGGAUAAAUAUACCUGAAUUUGUCCAAUAGAAAACUCUCGUUUGGAACUGUUGGACUAAAUGAUGACACCCUAGAUGCAGGUCAGACUGUGAAAGGCGGUAUUGAAUGUGUCACUGUCACCUCAAAUGUUUCUCUCGUUGUAAAUAAGGCCAUGCUUAUGAAUAAAUAAAUCGUCCUCCCUCGUCAUAAACGCCAGCGAUAUCCCAUAAUACGCCCCCUGAUCACCACGGUAACACGUCCUGUUACCCAGAACCCCCGAGGUCAGAGGUCAACAGUAUUGGUGUUAUCACCCUUAAAUCAGCCAAUCAAUGACCUGAUUAAGACCUGAGUAAUCAAAAGGUUGUAAAUAAUACAAAGUUCACAGUGUGUGUAUUUGUUCGUGUGUGUGUGUUCAGUGUGUGUUCAGUGUGUGUUCAGUGUGUGUGUGUGUUCAGUGUGUGUGUGUGUGUGUGUGUGUGCGUGUUAGUGUGAGUGUGUUCAGUGUGUGUGUGUGCGUGCGUGCGUGUGUGUGUGUUAGUGUUGUGUUCAGUGUGUGUGUGUGUGUGUGUGUGUGUGUGUGUGUGUGUGUGUGUGUGUGUGUGUGUGUUGUGUGUGUGUGUGUGUUCAGUGUGUGUGUGUGUGUGUUCAGUGUGUGUGUGUUCAGUGUGUGUGUGUGUGUGUUCAGUGUGUGUGUGUUCAGUGUGUGUGUGUGUGUGUGUGUGUGUGUGUGCUCCUCUCACAGAACAGAAACAGAAACAUGGAAUAAUGUUGUUCAGGUCUACUGUAAUGGUUCUAUUAAAGACAUGGACCCAACAUUCAGACAUGUUACUAACUAAUAAAUACAUGACA
rnacentral:lncRNA from 1 species